GGAGCAAAAGUCUCAUUGCUACACACUUUUCCUCUCCUGUGGUAGCAAUUGCAUCGAGAGCCUCACACUGAAGGCUCUUUUUCUUUUAAGACAGAACCUUGCUAAGAUGUUCUAGCUGACCUUGAACUCACUUCGUAGCCUCCCUCGGCAGUCCCUGACUUUGCAGUCUUCCCACACCAGCCUCUGUUCUAGUUUGCUUUCUGUUGUGAUAAACACGGAACAAAAGCCACUUGUGAGAGGGGAGGGUUUGUUUCGUCUCCUACUUCCAGGUCGCAAUCGGUCACUGAAAGACGUCAGCAGUAACUCAGCAGUAGCUGAGUUAAGAAACCACAGAGGAAUGCAGUAGCUGAGUUAAGAAACCACAGAGGAAUGCUGCCAAUCAAUCAACUGAUCUCUCUGGCUCACGUUCUGGUCUCUUUCUUCCGCAACCCUGGAGGGACCACCUGCACAGGGAUGCUACCGCCUACAGAGAGCUGAGCCUUCCCUUAUCAGUCAAGACAUUCUCUCACAGACAUGGCCAAAGGUCAGUCUGUCCUAGCCAGUUUUUCAAUUGAGGGUCCCCGGGUGACUCCAGGUUAUAUCAAACAUACAGAUAAACUAACCAGUACAGCCUCCAGAAUGGUUGGGACAACAGGCCUGUGUCACUAGACCCAGCUGGCAUUUGGUAUAGCGGUAGGGUUGAACAUUCUAACUGCUUCAGUCUGGGGGGAUUCGGUCAGAAGUGGAAAUAACCCAAUGUUAAUUGUUCUGCCGCCGGCAACGUUGGCAAAUUGUUUGGCAGCGACGGCAAAUGCAAGGUCCUUGAGGACAUCUGGAAAAGAUUUUGACGAGAGAUCUACGUGUCACUAAUACAGGCAGGCUUCUGGCUGCUGUGCCUGUGGUAGAUGGAUCGAGCUAAGUGAUCGUGGGGUUACUCUCCUGGCACAUCAUUUCUACUCUCCGACAAAAUCCACCCGUCUAAGUUCCUCUCCCUGAAGGCUACAAAACCAGAAAGGCUUGGCUGAAUCUGUUUCGAAACACAAAUCCAGGAUUAGAGAAGAACUCUACUGUUUGGAAUAGUGGUGGACUCGAUUCUUUGGAAUAUCUUGGUGAGUGAAAUGAAGUCACCAGCAAUAUUUUCUCCACACUGGUCACCGUGGGAACCGAAAGCAGUGAAGCCCAGUGGACUGACAACUGAGACGAUGCAGAUGCCACAGUAUGGGGGUCUAGGGGGCCAUCCUAAGAUGGGUAACACUUUGCUCAGAAGCUGGGACACCUACUGCUUCCUGCCCAGAUACAUCCCUAAGUAAGGUGCUCAUUUCAACCCCUGUACACAAUUUAAAUUCUAUACCAUAAUAUAAGGAACGAGAAGCAUGAUUACUGCCUUUUAGAGGCCCCUCUAAAUACCACAGCAGAACCAGCCAGAUAGACAAAUCAUUUCACAAAAGAAACGCAGUAAAUGACAAAUAGGAAAUCAAAAGGGCCCAGGGUCUGACUGGGACAGAGAACACUACCACCAGCCUUUGUGGAUGUGAUUAUGGGUUCUGAUUCCCAUUGUCUAAUCAAGGCUGAAGUGGCCCCUUGGAAGCAGUGCCCAAGCGACACAGCUGAUUUCAAAUGGACUUGUUCCCAACAUGGACUUGGUACAAGUCGUGAGAUCUAAAGUCAGAGUUUGAAACAUAAACCUGUCUCUCUAAAGCCAAGCUUCUCGUUGAACCUAAGGGUUUUCCAUGGGUACCAAGUAAAGCACGGGGCUGGGGACAACCAAAUGUUGGUUGCAAAUAUGGUUAUUUUGCAAAUAUGUUAUUUUCUGAGUGUCGAUGUAUAUUCAUAUACACUGUUUGACAUUCAUUCUAUGCAGGGUUGCAUGGCCAUUAUCCUGAAAUGGGUCUUACAGGUGAUUCAAAUGGUUUUCAAGGAGGAUUUUGGCUCCCCUUACUUUUUGUGUUAAGAUACAUUUCAGUGUCCAGACCAGUGUCCAGCAUGGGACAUACUGAGAAAACAAGAACAUAGAUGUUGUCCAGCACCCAAGUACUGAUCCAGACCUGCUUGUUAAUACAGUGGUAUCUCUUCUGGGAUAAAGACAAGAGAUAAGUGUGUGUAGCCCCGAGCGUGUGAGCUUAGCAACUCAGAACUAGGAGAACGUAUUUCCAAGUUUGUAUUCACAUGGGAAAAUUUAUACGUAUUAGCUUGGAUGCGGAUGGCUUUCCUGUCUGUGUUUCUCUAUGUAGCCAGAAAAACCUUCUGGACUUGUUUCUAUUCCAAGAGGCUGCAUGAAUGGUAAAACAUACAGAUGCCAACUUGAGUCAUAUAGAAGGGAACACGUGUUUUCGGGACAUACUAAAAUAGCACAGUAAAAUCGGGCAGGUGUUUGAUCAGGGAAUACGAAACCGUCUUCUCCAAAGACUCUGGAGGUUUUUUUUACUUGAAUGUUUUCAGCAAAAUAAACGGUUACUAGGAAAACAUGCUGUAAACGUAAGAAGGGUCUGCUGGCUUGAAAUGUGGCUGGCUGAUUUCUCCUUCCUUUGUAAUCCCAUUAAGCUCGGUAGCAAAACUCAGCCCUCCUGGCAGCUCUUCUCACCCGCAGCUGCCGGCAGAAAGUGCUCAGUGCCCAGAGUAAAGUCUUCAUUGGUUAAUGACCCUUGACCUUUCAUAGGUGGUGUCUUCCGUGGCAACACUUAGCUUGGAGGCUCCUACAUGAUAUACAGACUGACCAAGAGACAGCAUGGAAUUUCGUUGGAGUCCAAGGCUGGCGUGAUAAAAGGGAAUUACACACCCAAAGAUGUCUAUUCUGGAUUGACUCAACUGUUGAGUUAAUUUUUUUUUUAUUUAGGAUAUAGUGAUUUCUAAUUUGUACUGAUAACAAUCUAUUAGAGUUCUAACUGAUCUUGGUUGUCCAGACAGAAGGCAAGCAAAAUUUAAAAGAUGAUUUUUGCUACUUUUGGGUCUUGUUUCUAAGAACUUUGAAUGUGGCUUUUAAAACAUCAUUAAUACUGCGUACGGGCUGAAGCAUUUAAUGCCUCAUUUAUAGAUCAUUCUUUCUAUUCAGCUAGCAAAAAUCUCCCUGAAUUUUGGCAGUUUGUCUCCAUUAAUUUCAAAUAAACAUUUUAACCACGGACUCAAUAGCACUGAGUGUGUGCUCGGACCCCACUCUCCAGCCAUUUGCAGGUUAGAUUGUUCCUAAAAUGGGCCAGACCCUUCUCUGGGCGGAAGAGGGAGAAAUGUGAGUGAAAGUGGUGGUGGGGGGAUACUAAUGAAGAAAGAAUGAAAAGUUUUACGUUUAUGAAGCCUUUUAUUGUCCGAAAUGUUGGGGGGGGGGAAACAAGUCAAACAUGAUCCUCCUCCUUGCUCUCACUCUUUAUUUCCCCACCAGGCCCCAGUCUCCCC
rnacentral:sRNA from 1 species